CAAAGGAAUUGACGGGACCCGCACAAGCGGUGGAUGAUGUGGAUUAAUUCGAUGCAACGCGAAAACCUUACCUACCCUUGACAUGUCUGGAACCUUGGUGAGAGCCGAGGGUGCCUUCGGGAGCCAGAACACAGGUGCUGCAUGGCUGUCGUCAGCUCGUGUCGUGAGAUGUUGGGUUAAGUCCCGCAACGAGCGCAACCCUUGUCACUAGUUGCCAUCAUUUAGUUGGGCACUCUAGUGAGACUGCCGGUAAUAAACCGGAGGAAGGUGGGGAUGACGUCAAAUCAUCAUGCCCCUUACGGCCAGGGCUACACACGUGCUACAAUGGUCGGUACAAAGGGUUGCCAAGCCGCGAGGUGGAGCUAAUCCCAUAAAACCGAUCGUAGUCCGGAUCGCAGUCUGCAACUCGACUGCGUGAAGUCGGAAUCGCUAGUAAUCGUGAAUCAGAAUGUCACGGUGAAUACGUUCCCGGGCCUU
rnacentral:rRNA from 1 species